UACAGAGGUGGCAAGCGUUGUUCGGAAUUACUGGGCGUAAAGCGCGUGUAGGCGGGACGGCACGUCGGUCGCUGAAAGCCCCCGGCUCAACUGGGGAGGGUCACGCGAUACUGAUCGACUCGAAGGCAGGAGAGGGUAGUGGAAUUCCCGGUGUAGUGGUGAAAUGCGUAGAUAUCGGGAGGAACACCAGUGGCGAAGGCGACUACCUGGCCUGUUCUUGACGCUGAGGCGCGAAAGCUAGGGGAGCAAACGGG
rnacentral:rRNA from 1 species